rnacentral:tRNA from 1 species
AGGGGUAAGAGGUUUUGGAACGUUGGUCUCCAAAACCAAAUGUCGAGGGUUCGAGUCCUUCUGUCCCUG